CGCGGGGGAGCCAGGUGGGAAGGCAGCGGCCUCAUAAGCCGUUUACGAGCGGGUUCGAUUCCCGCCCCCGCUACCA
rnacentral:tRNA from 1 species